UCUCUCUCUCUCCCCUCUCUCUCUCUCCCCCCCCCCCUUUUUUUUUCCUCUUUGGUCUCAGUCAUGGGGACACCAUUGGGAAUGGAGGGAAGCCAGUGACUGCAUGCUAGAAGCUUUCUAAGUUGCGCACUGAUAUUCCAGGCCGGCUGUGCCUGAGCCAGUGUGGGCUUAAGUUCUUCACGGCCCCGGGGCCCUGGGAAGGUGGAGCCAGCUGCUUCUCCCCGAAUAACUGGGAGGUGAAACAAGAAGCUCUAUGACGCAGUUGAUCGAAAAUGACACAGACACAGAAAAGUCAGGACUCGGCCCCCUCCAGUGCCUCCACCUGCUGCCCACAGCCAGAGUGCAGGUGAAGGGUUUCCCCUGGGGCUUGAUCCUAACUAAACCCCGGAAGACGUUUGGAACUCUUUUUCCACACCUACUCUAAUCGUGGCCUGUUAAUGAUCACACUAAAAUCAUCACUAACUUUGAGCCUUCUACUGGAAACCUCUGUCUUCUCAGCUGCCUCCUUUUCUUCCCCCACACCUCAGUCACCUUCGUUCCACGAGGUUUCUUGGGCUCAUACUGUUAAGGCAUGUUCUAGAGUUGAGUUGGAUGGGACCCACUCUGUCCCUCCCCCUUCCCAGCACUUACCAAUAUCAACAAUUAUGCUGUUUGUUCACUCAUUAAUUGGCCGUGUACCUCUCAACCUGCUUUCCAAAUUUCAGUUCAAUAAAGGAAGAUUCUAGUCUGUC